AGCAGGAGCCCUGGCACCGGCGGCAGGCGCCUUUGCUGCGGCCUUAGCUUCGGCAGCGGCCAGACCGGCACCGGCACCGGCAUCCCUGAUGACUCCACCAUAAUCCAGCAACGGAUCUAUGGUCCGGAGAAUCUAGAUCGCUGGGACGACGAACUAGCGGCGGACGAAGAUCUGGAACGGGGAAUCGGCAAGGAGCUCCUUGCCAAGAUCCAGCGCUGCUACGAGCGGGUGAAGAUCGUCGACGAGGGCUUCUGCUUCGGCCUACUAGAUCCGGUCUCCAACAUCGUCGUCAGCGAAGCAAUCGCCCAAACCAAUAAGCUGGCGGUGGCGGCGGAGGAGGAAGAGGAGGACGGUCGUCGACGGCCGAUACUCCGGUGCAUUUUCGAGCGGUCGCUGGACGGCCUCGUCGCCUUCCUGGUGGCCCUCUUCCCCUACCUCACCAACUACAGGGCCGUGUGGUACCUCAACAAGGCCGAUCUGGACCCCCUCGUGGCCGCCGGCCUCGUCGUCAAGCACCGCGGGAUGGAGCGGACCUUCGGGUUUAUGUCUCACACCACCGCGGCGGCCGUCGGAAUGGCGCUCAGAUGCGCCGCGGCCGUCGCACAACACCCCAACCCGCGCAAGUUUGCUCUGGGGUGGAAGCUGCUGUCCCCUUGUCUCUGCAGGGUCUCCGCCCUGCUUUCACCACCCUACGCCGCCCGAGACCCCGCUCUGAUCAUCGACAUCUGGUCACUGCUUGAGCAACCUGAACCUAAACCUGCUCGGCUUGUCCUGGAGGAAGCCUGGGGGCUUGCCUCUAAACGCCAUGGCAGCAACAUGAAGAACCAUCCGGAGAUGAAGAUGCUGCAAGUGCCGCUGCUGCCGACUCUGAGGCGUGUGCUUCUCGCCACCAUCCAUGGAUACUAUCUGGAGGCUCUUGCCUGGCUGCCCAAGGACAAGCUGUGCUCCUACCAGUACCAUUACAGCUUGCUCCACGCCGGCCAGUGCUACGGGCCGCUGGACCCCGUCUCCAACAUCAUCGUGAAUACCCUCUGGUAUGCCCAGGCCUACCCUCUAACGCUAGAGAAAAAUAUGGAGAUCGAGGCCAUCAGCACCAGAGCCCUGCUGCGGAUCGCACUCCGAUCCCUAUAUGGCCUCAUCUCCUUCCUCUGCACACGCCACCCCGCCCUCACGCCGGGCGAGGCCAUGCAACGACUGCAGCUGGCCGGGGCCUAUCUCCAAAAGGCCGAUGAUCGCGAUCACGAUGGUGGCAUCGAAGAAGCCUACGCGGCUGCUGCCAAUGCCGCACGCCACCCGAAACCUCUUGAACAGGCCCAAUUCCUCGGACCAUCUAAUUCCAUGCUGAAAGGCUUCUCGGAUCUCCUCGAGCACAAUGAACCUUCCAACGUCCGCCCAUUGUUUCCGGGCUACUUCCAAGCUCUUGCCAACUGCAAACCUGCACAAGAAACAAAAAACACCAACGUGUUAGGCCCGUGGGCUUACAAUGAUGUAAUGAGAACGAUAGGCAGCUUCUGGAACCAGCACAACAGCGCCGUGGGAAUGGCAAAAUAUGCAAUCGAAAUGUACAACAAGAAACUCCUGGUACAACCCAGCUACGAGGUCCAUGUUGUCUGCGGUGUCAACGAGUCCGUGGGUGGCCAUGCGAACCCAACGAAGCCCUUCGAUGGCACGUGCCGUUGCUCCCACAUCAACUUCCUCGCCACCCGAACUACAGCAGGCACAUCUCCAGAGCUCUUCUUUGCCGAGUGUAGCAACAUCGGCUCUAAGGAGGUGCUGUUGUGCUGCCCUGUGGCUAUGCCACUUCCAGGCACUGAGCAAGUCCGUUGCCUUUACUGUGAGUCGAGAGGGAGGACCAUCGUGCACCCGACCAAGGAGAGUUUCCUGGGGCGUGACAAAGAGUUUGAGAAGAUGCUCUGCGGUGAAAGACAACGCGCCAACAAUGAAAUGAUCUCUGACAGCUACUAUAUAACCUUGCGUUUGGAUAAUCUGGAGGAGGACCGAAUCUACAGCGAUUAC
rnacentral:rRNA from 1 species